rnacentral:rRNA from 1 species
AUUGAACGCUGGCGGCAUGCUUUACACAUGCAAGUCGAACGGCAGCACGGGUGCUUGCACCUGGUGGCGAGUGGCGAACGGGUGAGUAAUGCAUCGGAACGUAUCCAAUAAUGGGGGAUAACGCACCGAAAGGUGUGCUAAUACCGCAUACGCCCUGAGGGGGAAAGUGGGGGACCGUAAGGCCUCACGUUAAUGGAGCGGCCGAUGCCUGAUUAGCUAGUUGGUGAGGUAAAGGCUCACCAAGGCGACGAUCAGUAGCUGGUCUGAGAGGACGACCAGCCACACUGGGACUGAGACACGGCCCAGACCCCUACGGGAGGCAGCAGUGGGGAAUUUUGGACAAUGGGCGCAAGCCUGAUCCAGCCAUGCCGCGUGAGUGAAGAAGGCCUUCGGGUUGUAAAGCUCUUUCGCAAGGAAAGAAAACUUAUCCCCUAAUACGGGAUGAGGAUGGCGGUACCUUGAUAAGAAGCACCGGCUAACUACGUGCCAGCCGCCGCCGUAA